UGAGUAACGCGUGAGGAACCUGCCUUCCAGAGGGGGACAACAGUUGGAAACGACUGCUAAUACCGCAUAAGCCCACGGUGCCGCAUGGCACAGAGGGAAAAGGAGCAAUCCGCUUUGAGAUGGCCUCGCGUCCGAUUAGCUAGUUGGUGAGGUAACGGCCCACCAAGGCGACGAUCAGUAGCCGGCUUGAGAGAGUGAACGGCCACAUUGGGACUGAGACACGGCCCAAACUCCUACGGGAGGCAGCAUG
rnacentral:rRNA from 1 species